GAGGGUAUAGCUCAAUGGUAGAGUGCAUGCUUAGCAAGCACAAAGUCCUGGGUUCAGUCCCUGGUACCGCCA
rnacentral:tRNA from 1 species